rnacentral:rRNA from 1 species
AUUGAACGCUGGCGGCAGGCCUAACACAUGCAAGUCGAACGAGUGGCGGACGGGUGAGUAAUGUCUGGGAAACUGCCUGAUGGAGGGGGAUCACUACUGGAAACGGUAGCUAAUACCGCAUACCAUCGGAUGUGCCCAGAUGGGAUUAGCUUGUUGGUGGGGUAACGGCUCACCAAGGCGACGAUCCCUAGCUGGUCUGAGAGGAUGACCAGCGACACUGGAACUGAGACACGGUGCAGACUCCUACGGUAGGAAGCAGUGGGGAAUAUUGCGCGAUGGGCGCAAGCCGGAUGCAGCCAUGCCGCGUGUAUGAAGAAGGCCUUCGGGUUGUAUAGUACUUUCAGCGGGGAGGCGUUACCCGCAGAAGAAGCACCGGCUAACUCCGUGCCAGCAGCCGCGGUAAUAC